rnacentral:lncRNA from 1 species
CAUGAUUUACCUUCUCACAAUGCUCUAAAGGGGUCGAUGGGCAACAAGAUUUGGGUUCAACUUUUAAGAAUCGCUCGGAGUUGACCGAACAGCCUCAUCAGAGUGGUCAUUCGACCAAACCAUAGCCUUGUAGCUAUAAUUAUAGAACUUGCAACCACGAAACGUCUCAAAUCUCAAGUCUGCACGGUGGCCGCCGCCUUUGACUGCGACCCGAUUUCAACGUUGGCGCUCUCAGUAACACCAAGGUCCUUCUUUCACACAUUCCCGUUCUCGUUCUCCAAUACAGAUAAUUACUUGUCUGUGUGUAUAGGUUUUUAUAUGUUUUGCUACGAACACAAUUGGGUUUUAGACUUUCUGCAGCUGAGAAUUGAGUGGUAUGCAUAUUGGAAGCAUUCGUUAACAAAACCCUUUUGUUAUUUUAAGGAUUUUAGAACUUCUGCAGAUGUGAAAGAGUAAACUACAUUAUUUGGAAGCAUUCUUAUAAUAUUGGUAUAAACGUCAUCGCUACGAAUUAGUUUAAUAUGUCAGAUUUAUGAGUAAAUAUGCCACUUUAGUGAAAAAUCCACUUGUUAUUAGAAGGAUUUUUAAAUUUUCUGCUGCUGAGAAUUGAGUAAAAUGUAGUACUUGGAAGCGCUCUUAUAAUAUUGGUGUAGACGACAUUCCACUAAUUUCGUUUAAUUUAUCAGAUUUACGGUUUAAUAUCCUACUUUGAACACAUUCGUUAUUUGGAGGGUUUUUUAAUAUCUCAUAUUUUUUUAGUAAAGAUUCCUGUUUGUCGUUUUUGUUUUCUUUUGGUCUUUGCUUACUUGGUGAG